rfam:Gasterosteus aculeatus cont1.009817, whole genome shotgun sequence.
GUUGUUGUGGCCGAGAGGUUAAGGCGAUGGACUCGAAAUCCAUUGGGGUCUCCCCGCGCAGGUUUGAGUCCUGCCAGCAACG